AUAUGGGUGCCAGAAGUAAAAUAUGGGUUAGUUUUAAGCGCUAAAGAUGAGUUUCUCCCCGUAUA
rnacentral:tRNA from 1 species